GAAGGGGGCGGGUGCUAUACAUGCAGUCGAACGCUUCUUUUUCCACCGGAGCUUGCUCCACCGGAAAAAGAGGAGUGGCGAACGGGUGAGUAACACGUGGGUAACCUGCCCAUCAGAAGGGGAUAACACUUGGAAACAGGUGCUAAUACCGUAUAACAAUCGAAACCGCAUGGUUUUGAUUUGAAAGGCGCUUUCGGGUGUCGCUGAUGGAUGGACCCGCGGUGCAUUAGCUAGUUGGUGAGGUAACGGCUCACCAAGGCCACGAUGCAUAGCCGACCUGAGAGGGUGAUCGGCCACAUUGGGACUGAGACACGGCCCAAACUCCUACGGGAGGCAGCAGUAGGGAAUCUUCGGCAAUGGACGAAAGUCUGACCGAGCAACGCCGCGUGAGUGAAGAAGGUUUUCGGAUCGUAAAACUCUGUUGUUAGAGAAGAACAAGGAUGAGAGUAACUGUUCAUCCCUUGACGAUAUCUAACCAGAAAGCCACGGCUAACUACGUGCCAGCAGCCGCGGUAAUACGUAGGUGGCAAGCGUUGUCCGGAUUUAUUGGGCGUAAAGCGAGCGCAGGCGGUUUCUUAAGUCUGAUGUGAAAGCCCCCGGCUCAACCGGGGAGGGUCAUUGGAAACUGGGAGACUUGAGUGCAGAAGAGGAGAGUGGAAUUCCAUGUGUAGCGGUGAAAUGCGUAGAUAUAUGGAGGAACACCAGUGGCGAAGGCGGCUCUCUGGUCUGUAACUGACGCUGAGGCUCGAAAGCGUGGGGAGCAAACAGGAUUAGACACCCUGGUAGUCCACGCCGUAAACGAUGAGUGCUAAGUGUUGGAGGGUUUCCGCCCUUCAGUGCUGCAGCUAACGCAUUAAGCACUCCGCCUGGGGAGUACGACCGCAAGGUUGAAACUCAAAGGAAUUGACGGGGGCCCGCACAAGCGGUGGAGCAUGUGGUUUAAUUCGAAGCAACGCGAAGAACCUUACCAGGUCUUGACAUCCUUUGACCACUCUAGAGAUAGAGCUUCCCCUUCGGGGGCAAAGUGACAGGUGGUGCAUGGUUGUCGUCAGCUCGUGUCGUGAGAUGUUGGGUUAAGUCCCGCAACGAGGCGCCACCCUUAUUGUUAGUUACCAUUCAUUCAGGUUGGGGCACUCCUUAGCAAAGAACUGUCG
rnacentral:rRNA from 1 species